GAUGAACGCUGGCGGCGUGCCUAAUACAUGCAAGUCGAGCGAACAGACGAGGAGCUUGCUCCUCUGACGUUAGCGGCGGACGGGUGAGUAACACGUGGAUAACCUACCUAUAAGACUGGGAUAACUUCGGGACACCGGAGCUAAUACCGGAUAAUAUAUUGAACCGCAUGGUUCAAUAGUGAAAGACGGUUUUGCUGUCACUUAUAGAUGGAUCCGCGCCGCAUUAGCUAGUUGGUAAGGUAACGGCUUACCAAGGCAACGAUGCGUAGCCGACCUGAGAGGGUGGUCGCCCACACGGGAGCUGAGACGCGGUCCAGACUCCUACGGGAGGCAGCAGUAGGGAAUCUUCCGCAAUGGGCGAAAGCCUGACGGAGCAACGCCGCGUGAGUGAUGAAGGUCUUCGGAUCGUAAAACUCUGUUAUUAGGGAAGAACAAAUGUGUAAGUAACUAUGCACGUCUUGACGGUACCUAAUCAGAAAGCCACGGCUAACUACGUG
rnacentral:rRNA from 1 species